rnacentral:misc_RNA from 1 species
AUUCAAUCAGUGAUCUGAUUCCCUUCAUAGUUCAUAUAAAACAUUAAUGUGUAUAUUGCAGAUAUGUUUUUACAUGUUUACAUCAUUAAAAACAAAUAAGUAACAACCCUCUUAGUAAAUACUUGAUUAAACAUGCACAUGUACACUGGUCUUUAAAUUGAAGCAUAAAUCACCAUUAUUCAGCAAAAUUUUGCAGUUUGCAAGCUGCAAUGGAGUUCAAAACCCAAGAAUUGCUUACUGCCCUAGCUCCAGUUGCACCCGCCAGAGUUUCGGCGUCUCCCCUUCUUCGAUUUAAAAUAAUUUCCUUCUUGCUGAGAUCACACUUAUCAGGAAGCUCGAUGCUGUAAAUUAUGAAUGUCGCAAGUGUAGAGGAACCCAAUGACAAGACCCCCUGGGCUCCAGAAAUGGGUUUCCUAUGCAGAACAGUUCCUCCACCAGCAAUUAGAAGAUCUUGAAUAUAUCCCUUGUAAGAAGCUACAAAAUCUCCCAGCAUAUAGAACCUAAACCCCUCAAAAAUUUUUGGUUGCUGCAAAAUAAAACACGUCAAUAUACUGUGUACGCAUAAGGCCAUGUCUGAGUGCACACAUGCAUGCGCAAUGCUGUUAGGACUGUGCUUAAUGGGUGAUGAUAAGAACAUGUAACAGAAUUUAUCUCCACAAGCAAGAAUUAAGAUUAAGAUUAGUAUCUUGAGAAGCCUCUUAGCAAUGGAAUUGUGAUGUCUAAGGUGGCAUACCAAUCUUCUAGUUCUGAGAAAAGCUGGUGUUAUGUUACAAAUCCAACAGAAGCAAAUUUCAAAACCACAACUUUUUAACAGAAUAAUAUUGAGAGAAAUAAUAUGAUUGAAUUGAAAAAUGAGACCGCCACAGAUACUAUCCCCAAAACGAUUAGACAAGCACAAGCAUGAAGGUCACAACUGAGAGAGGUCAAUUCCCUAGAGUGCAAAUGAGCAUGCAAACAAACCUUGUUCAGGAUUCUCAGUCUUCCAAGUCGCGGGCCAUCCCUGAUUCCAUGAAUAUCCACUAAAAUUUCAUAUUUCUCCUCUUGAACAAGUUCCAUUGCCUUCAUGCAAGCCUUAACCCACUCAAUAUUCAGUAUCCAUUUCCCCUCCAAGAUGCCCAUCAAGAUCUUGAGGGUUCUUCUGCAUGCUCCAUUUUCAUUUGUAGAUGCAAUGACAUGGGUGACGCUCAAAUCCCAAUUUUUCAACACUAUAACUCCUGAUAAUCUCUCAAAUUCAGAAACAAUUUCCUUUUCCUCAACUGUGAGAGCAGAACAACAAAGAACCAGCUUGUCUGCUGUUACACUUGAAUUCCAAUUUGGACAUGAACUGACAUCAUGUUUUAAAACAACUUUGCUGCACUGAUUGGGCCUUUUUCUUUUUGGAAUGCAUUUCUUUCUUAUUCUCUCUUCAGAUCCUGAGUCUUCAUCAGGCAACUUCAAAGAAGCAUGAAGAGGGCACAGCAUGACAAAGUUAUUCUGUUGCCAAAGGUUCAAGAGAAUCAAAUUAAAUAAGCAUGCUAUGCAGAAUUUGCAUUAGGAGUGAAAGAAUUUCAACUAAUGACACUUAACAGUAUCCCAUCGACAUUGAGGGAUCAUCUUUGCACAUGUGACAUGGAAACUUUUGCGACAACUCUUCUCAUAACAUCCAAGAGCAGCACCUUUAAGUCCACAGCAGCAGCACGUUAUCCUCCUACUUCUAGUUAAUUCAGCUUCAAGAUUAAUUGCAGUAUCAUCCUCAAAAUAAACAUUAGGCGCCCUGUAUGUAUGAAUUUGAAGGAUUAUACCACGUCCAUAAUAUCAAAAUUACAAGCAUUGGAGACAAUCUACUGAGGAUUUCAAAAGUGAACUCAUCUAUCAUCAAUGCUGUUAACAGAAAUUUUUCAAAUAUAUGAAAGCCCAUCAUCUUUUCAGCCAGAAAAUUCACAUCAUAACAAACAAUGAUAUCUACCAGAAUUAUCUGAAUUGAGCAUAUAAGAUUUUCUAUUGACCAAAAAAUCACUUAAAAGCUUAUGCAGAUCAUGGCUUCCUGAAUUGUUUUACAAAAAUCUUCAGCACUAUGAUUACGAAAGCACUCAAAUUUCCCAACUAUGUCCACAAAAAUUAAUUAUAUUUGUAAUUACUUUAUCUGGUACAAGCAAGCAAAAAACUAUAUGACCGUGGUUUUAAUAAAUAAAAGAAAAGAAAUUUCCUUUGGCAGCUCAUUGAAGAAUGCUCUUACCACUCAGCACAAUUUCUAUGAGAGUGUAUAACCUUGGAUCCACUGUUAUAAUUUGCAGCUACAGGCCUGCCAUUGCAGUAGUGGACCAUAUCUCCUGAGGCCUCCGAGUCUUCUGAAGAAAGACAGAAAGCACAAUGAAUAUUAAGAGCACGGGUUUGGCAAGUAUGCAAAGCCACUACAUUUGCUUGACCAAGCGUCCCCAAUAUUUCUGAAUUAUCAGGAAUUUUCAAACCAAGACUACCUCGAACCUUCCUUUUGUACUGAGUUUCUUUUACAGAGACAGCAGCUGCCUUUUCAAUGCAUUGAGUUUCCUUUGCAGAGAUACUAAUAUGACCCUCUUGAUGGUCAUUUAGUAACCCAUCUGUUGAGAUGCCAUAAAAGGAAACUUUCAUCUUUUUUGUACUUCUUAACUUUUUAUUGCUUUCUGAAUUCAAUACAGAGUUAACUUCAAUUCCAUGUUUCUGCUGUUUCUGCUUGAUAUAUGAGAUGCACUUACCAUCAACUUCAGGAGGGCUUUUGCCUUCUUCCAAUGGGUUUUGAACUUUAUAAGUUUCUUCAAUCACGUUCAUAUCAGUGGAAUCCAAUUUUUGUUUCUUCAACCUCAAAGAACGAUAUGCAUGAGAGGUGCUGGCAUUCCCACACAUUUUUCCGAUAUUUUUUCUAAGAUUUUCAUUAUGACAUUGUUUCUUACAUAGUGAAGUAGACAACUCAGCAGCCAUCUUUUUGUCACUUUGAUUUUGUGCUUCUGCUCUGAGAGAAACAGGGAGAGCAUUUUCAGGUUUUGAUUCAGCUGCAGAGGUACCAAAAACAGCCUUCUCUCUCCUCCUAGUUUUCUUACACUCUAAAGAGUUUCCCUUGUCACAUGCUUCCUUCUGCAUAAUUUUUCUAGAUUUCAUCUCUGAAUUAGAGGGAACCUCAAAAUUUUGCUCUGCAUCUUUCUUUACACACUUCUUUAGUGUUGCCUUUUUCCUAGCAGUCCUAACUUUCCUUUUGGAUUUGUUAGAGGCAACUUGACAAUCAGAACUUCUGGGUCUCAGAGGGGACAGAGUAGGAGAUUCCUCAUCUGCAAUAUCCAUUACAUCUUCAGUAUCAGAACAUUUUUCAUUUCCAACACUGUGUUCAUUUGUAUUUGAACUCAGUAAGAGUACUUCUUGUUUGCUUUCUUGAUUUCCAUCAAUUUCACCAGCAUCCUCAUCCUGCAUCAUAGCAGGACUUGAAAAAAGUUCAGGGGAGCAAGCUUUCUGUGUCCACUCAAACAUUUCACUAUUAAAAAGAUCUGCGUCAUUUGGUUUGCCACACACUUCCUCUGCUUGGGAUAAUUUAGAGGGGCUGUCAUCAUCUGAAUCCUUGAUAUCACUAAAAGUAGGAAUGUUUGGAGGUGUUAUAUCCAAAAAUUGACUACCAAUAGUAUGCUGACUUAACUUCUCUAAACCUUCAUCAUCUCUCAACCAGAAAAAAGGGGAAAACACAGGUUCACCUUUUUCAAAGGGAGCAGGAUUCUCUCUUGGGAUCAAUGACCUGUUCUUAAAUCCAUCCUUAAUGUUUUCACCUGAUCCAAUCUCUAGCUUCUCAGUUCGUGUUGGGGUUUCUGAAGGAAGACAUUGUGGCACCUGAACUCUUUUUUUAGUAGGGAAGGAAGGCUUCGCAGAAAUAGGAUCAGAAACUUCCUGGUUGGAUUUAGUAGUAUUUCUUGACCUCUUUCUUGUGGAAGAUCUUUUCUUUUGCACUCUGUCCUGACAAAUUAUAUGGAUAUCUUCUCUUCCGCAAUUCGCAUCAGCCUCUACUUGCUCUUUUGUGUCAGAUGAUUUAGCUGAUGGUGGAUUCUGAGUGACAAAUAUCUGGAAUCCUGAAGCAGCUUCCAUACUUUUGUAAAUGCUCACUAGGCUAUCCAUGUGAGGAGCAGCUCGAACCUCUCUACGCCGAUAAGGCACUUUACAAACUGGGCAAGUGGAACCCGACUUCAUCGACUUCACAAUACACGAAUUGCAGAAUACAUGAUUACAUGUAAGCGAAACAGCGGAAUUCAGUAGACUCAAGCAGAUGGGGCACUUAAGCUCUCUGCCCAUUUUCUCAAGGUGAAUUGGAUCUCCCAUUUUAGCAGAAAUUUAACAGUCCUUAGCUUGGAGUUCUUCUGUUUGCCCCAGAGAGAAGGGGGAGGAGGAAGGGGAGUAAGUAACUGAGGAGAGAGAGUUUUGAAUUUGAAAUGCGGGGAAUUCCUUUCGACCCGCCAAAGCUACUUAUUUUCACGCGCCUUUACUUGGGCCAUUGGCGGGCUUAUCAAAUUUUUGCAAUAAACUCAUUACCGAUACUCCUUUUCAAAACAAAAAAUUUUGGGACAAACAAUACUCGAGAGCAAUGUUGUUAACUCAGCCCAUCAGCCGGGUUGAUCCAGUAAACUGAUACUAAAUCGAGUCAGAUUUUUAGUUGAGUCGAAUAAAGAAAUAAAUAGUAACAAAAUCAGUGAUUUAUGUGGUCCGAGUGAUUAAAUCAUUUGCCUAAUGAGUACAAAGUGUAUUUGCCCAUAUUUUCUGGGCAAAUACACUUUGUAAUGAACUAAGACUUGCAAAAUAUACUUAAAAAAUAC